CAGCAUGGCACUAGAGUGUACUAUGGUAUUUAUACGCACACAGAUGAUCCGCAAGCGCACGGAUACCGUUGAAGCUUUUACCCGGUUAAAGGUUUUAUCGUAUCCACAGGGAAACGGGAGAACCAACUACGCUCUAACUUAACCAAGAUAGAUAGAUAGGUGUAAAUAGGAAAGAUGAUAGAAUCGAAUAAGAACAAUAUUAAAGGUAAGAUAACAGUGAGUGAUAAUAUGGAAAUAGAGAAUAGAGCAAUUCUAGUAUAUGGGCGAUGGUAGCAGAAUAGAGAGGAUAACUAUGGUUUCUCUACUUCAAAGGGGUAUGUCUAUGUCUAGGACGAACCACGUGAUAAGAGUACACCACAA
rnacentral:lncRNA from 1 species